UUUAGUCACUUUAGACUGGAGAAUAUGGGCAACUGUUGGGGUAAUUGAACCUGCUUCCUCCAAUUCACAGUCGAUCAACCGACUAUAUAUCGGCGACUGAUGAUUGGGAUGACAAUAGAUAGGAUUUGGAUCGGAUAUUGUACUAUCCAUCUUCAAAUUCGAACUUAAUACCCUAUAUCCAAAUCCUAUCCGAUAUCCGAUCAGGUAAGAAAAGAGAUAUCCAUCUCCAUACCCAAUAGGUUCAGAGAUAUCCCCAUAUAACCCAUUUUUUCAUAUCCAUCCCAUACCCAAAACAAAUAAACAACCAAAAUAAUUUUAUACUUAUUAUUAACAAAAAC
rnacentral:lncRNA from 1 species